CCUACGGGCGGCAGCAGUAGGGAAUUUUGCGCAAUGGGCGAAAGCCUGACGCAGCAACGCCGCGUGAUCGAGACGCCCUUCGGGGUGUAAAGAUCUGUCAGUGGGGACGAAACUUGACGGUACCCACCGAGGAAGCACCGGCUAACUCCGGGCCAGCAGCCGCGGUAAUACGGGGGGGGCACGCGUUUUCCGGAAUCAUUGGGCGUAAAGAGUUCGUAGGCGGCACGUAAAGUCUGGUGUUAAAGGCUAAGGCUCAACUUCUGUACGGCAGUGGAUACUUGCGAGCUAGAGUGCGGUAGAGGUAAAGGGAAUUCCUGGUGUAGCGGUGAAAUGCUUAGAUAUCAGGAGGAACAUCGGUGGCGUAAGCGCUUUACUGGGGCGUAAUUGACGCUGAGGAACGAAAGCCAGGGUAGCAAAUGGGAUUAGAUACCCUUGUAGUC
rnacentral:rRNA from 1 species